UACGAAGGGGGCGAGCGUUGUUCGGAUUUACUGGGCGUAAAGGGCGCGUAGGCGGCCUCGCAAGUCGAGUGUGAAAGCCCCGGGCUCAACCUGGGAAUUGCGCUCGAGACUGUGGUGCUGGAGUUCGGGAGAGGAGCGUGGAAUUCCCAGUGUAGAGGUGAAAUUCGUAGAUAUUGGGAAGAACACCGGUGGCGAAGGCGGCGCUCUGGACCGAGACUGACGCUGAGGCGCGAAGGCGUGGGGAGCAAACAGG
rnacentral:rRNA from 1 species